rnacentral:rRNA from 1 species
UACGUAGGGUGCGAGCGUUGUCCGGAAUUAUUGGGCGUAAAGGGCUCGUAGGCGGUUUUGUCGCGUCGGGAGUGAAAAUCCAGGGCUUAACUCUGGACUGGCUUCCGAUACGGGCAGACUAGAGGUAUGCAGGGGAGAACGGAAUUCCUGGUGUAGCGGUGAAAUGCGCAGAUAUCAGGAGGAACACCGGUGGCGAAGGCGGUUCUCUGGGCAUUACCUGACGCUGAGGAGCGAAAGCUAGGGGAGCAAACGGG